CAGAACAGGUGUUAUGUAAGGAGGAAGAAAAGCAGAAAAGGAGAACAUAAGUGAGAGGAAAAAAUUGGUGUGUAAAGGAAAGAAAGGAUGGUUUCCACAAAUUAACUACAAAUGGGAACUACACAGGACUGGGGACUUCUGCUUGCCACUUUAUGGCCCCAAAAGAUUGUUUCUUCCCCUUCUUCAAUGACCUAUAGGAUCUAGGGCAAAUUGCACACGUGGUCAGCCACACCGCCUUGCUGCCACCAUACUUUCACAGCCCCACCAGGCCUUGCUUCCCAGCCUCCGAGUCUGUGUCAAGGACCGAGGCCACCCAGGAUAUACUCCUGGCCUACAGCCAGCUCUGACGUCUGUGCUCAUGCACUAAAUGCAGAAAAGAAAGAGAAAAGAUAGAUGUGCUCCGAAAAGGAACGUUGAUCAGAUGUCUGUGCUGUGCUUGCUGCUGUCAGUCCAGGGGGACAAAAGUUCUUCUGCAAGGGAGGCAGUUUCUGUGAGUCCUUCCAUUCUUCUUUUCUUUUUUCUCCUCUUUCCUGCUUCAGCACCAAUAGCGCUAGGCUUAAUGCUGAGGAGUGCUGUCAUUUUAUGAUCCUAAUUACACAGCAGCAAACUGAAAUCCCCCUGGUCUACUUUGGACAACUUGGACAUGUUGUGUGGAUCAUGCAAGUGGGAUUUGGCAUGGAGCCAGGAAGAGGAGUAAAUUAACAUGGUCACUUAAGGUCAUGGUCAUAAAAAGUCAUGGCUCUUCUGCUGCAGAUUUUUCAAGGCUUUGGCUCUUUUGUACAGGUUUCAGUGGAGCAAGAAAUACAAUCUAUUUUUAGUGAGUUAGGCAGCAAGUGAUAUGUUGCAGUGGAAAGCUAUGGACAGUUUUCAGCUGAACUGAACAGUGGGGAACUUUGGGAUGGCUUCUCAGCCCUAGUUCUUUGCUCUGACAAGGCAGCUAGGGAAAUGAGAAGAAGGGGUCACUGACAUUUUAUUCGUAUUUAUCUCUGAAUAGGAAGGCACAGGCAUGGAUAUUGGCUUUCAACAAACUGCUCUUGCAAACAAAGUGCUCAUACUUGGGAGAGCACAUGAGAGAAGAGAGCUGAGGUUAGAUUUCCAAUUUCCUUGAAAAAGAAUAAUCUAAACCCUGUUACUGUGAGUUUUGUUUGUUUGUUUGUUUGUUUUUCACUUGUGUGGUAUGUAUAUUACUCUGUGAAAGGUAUGGUGGGACAAAUGGCAGAAGAGCCUUUGAAUAGCUAGAAAUCAGUCUUCUCUUGGAUCCCUUUUCAAAAUCUAUUAUUUUCUGUCUUCUUCUCUGCAUUAUUUGGACUUGUAUGCCGAAUGAAUGUUUUAACAAUCAAACACCUUCUGAGAAUCCUGGCCGUUGCAUAGUCCAGGCUGCUGCCCCUACAGCCAUAUGGUCCUCAUUAGGGGAUCCGUUAGGGCUGGCUGGGCUGCAGUUAGUGUCGGUAUCUUCUAGUUUAAUGAUGAUCAUACAUGGUGCAUAUAAAAUCACUACCCACCUGAGCCUUCACAUGAGAAUUUCCUCUUGGUACUCAGACGGGAAUGCAAGGAGGGUGUUUUAUGGUGUUCAUAAGUACACUGGCAUGGCUGGGACAGAGGAAGCAGAGACUGCAGCAGUUCAAAGCCACACCGGAAAGAGGCUGCAAGGAAUAGCCAUUGGGACCACAAAAUGCAGGUCACUGUGAAGCAGAGCUGUUUCAUGUAGGCAUGGACCAGAACCAAGCCACAGUUGAGGACAUCCCAGAAGUGUGAGAAAAGUUCAGCAUCAGAUCUGCCUUCCAUGGAAAGAUUUUGUACCUCAGUAAUGGGCUUUACCAAAACUUUGUAUUCAAACACCCAUUAGGACCUAAAAGCAUUUGGGUCUGGGUACAGCUAGACUAUAUUCUAGCUCCCUCCCAACCCACUCACCCUGUGCUCUUCCACUGUCUGCAAAGUGCCUCAAAACCCCACUGAUGAAAACUUACUUUUGCAAGCCUUCAUUUCCAGCUCCUUGCUUUAACACACCAGCCCAGACAUAAUCUUGACAUGUACUUAGGUGAAGUUAACUGAACAAUGCCACUUAAUAAAAGUCCCAUAAAGGUACAAUCUUGUGCUCAGAGGAGAUUUUAUUUAUGGAGACACAGAAAGUGGUGUCAGUGUGUGUAUAUACUCUGUAAAAAGUCCAUUAGCCAAGGUGUAAGUGAAAUGAAUCUGACCUCUGUAUCACUAACAUGCUGACUGCAAAGGUGCCACUUCAGAGCAUUACUGACCUCACCCCAAACCCUCAGUGAGAACUGAAAGCGAGAACAGGAUUAGAUGACGAUUAUUUUUUUUUUUAAGUGAAUCAAGCAGUGUUUUGUCUGUGGAGAAAAAGGAAAAAAAAUAGAAAAAAAAAA